rnacentral:tRNA from 1 species
CGCUCCGUAGUUCAGAGAGCAGACCGCUGGUUUCAUAAGCCGGAUGCCGCAGGUGCAAUUCCUGCCGGAGCGA